rnacentral:rRNA from 1 species
GACGAACGCUGGCGGCGUGCCUAAUACAUGCAAGUUGAGCGCUGAAGGUUGGUACUUGUACCAACUGGAUGAGCAGCGAACGGGUGAGUAACGCGUGGGGAAUCUGCCUUUGAGCAGGGGACAACAUUUGGAAACGAAUGCUAAUACCGCAUAAAAACUUUAAACACAAGUUUUAAGUUUGAAAGAUGCAAUUGCAUCACUCAAAGAUGAUCCCGCGUUUUAUUAGCUAGUUGGUGAGGUAAAGGCUCACCAAGGCGAUGAUACAUAACCGACCUGAGAGGGUGAUCGGCCAACUUGGGACUGAGACACGGCCCAAACUCCUACGGGAGGCAGCAGUAGGGAAUCUUCGGCAAUGGAGGAAAGUCUGACCGAGCAACGCCGCGUGAGUGAAGAAGGUUUUCGGAUCGUAAAACUCUGUUGGUAGAGAAGAACGUUGGUGAGAGUGGAAAGCUCACCAAGUGACGGUAACUACCCAGAAAGGGACGGCUAACUACGUG